rnacentral:miRNA from 1 species
UUUGAUCAUCAGUAAGUGAGAU